CAGCCGCCGCGGUAAUACCGGCGGCCCGAGUGGCGGCCACUAUUAUUGGGCCUAAAGCGUCCGUAGCCGGGCUGGUAAGUCCCCCGGGAAAUCUGGCGGCUUAACCGUCAGAAUUCCGGGGGAUACUGCCAGCCUAGGGACCGGGAGAGGCCGGGGGUAUUCCCGGGGUAGGGGUGAAAUCCUGUAAUCCCGGGAGGACCACCUGUGGCGAAGGCGCCCGGCUGGAACGGGUCCGACGGUGAGGGACGAAGGCCAGGGGAGCGAACCGGAUUAGAUACCCGGGUAGUCCUGGCGGUAAACGAUGCGGACUAGGUGUCGGGUGAGCUUCGGGCUCGCCCGGUGCCGUAGGGAAGCCGUUAAGCCCGCCGCCUGGGGAGUACGGCCGCAAGGCUGAAACUUAAAGGAAUAGGCGGG
rnacentral:rRNA from 1 species